AUUUAAGUAGCUUAAUUUUAUUAAAGUUUAACAUUGAAAAUGUUGAGAUGAUUUUAUAAUCUUUAAAUA
rnacentral:tRNA from 1 species